GACCUCGGAUCAGGCGGGGCUACCCGCUGAACUUAAGCAUAUCAAUAAGCGGAGGACAAGAAACCAACAGGGAUUGCCUCAGUAACGGCGAGUGAAGCGGCAACAGCUCAAAUUUGAAAUCUGGCCUUCGGGUCCGAGUUGUAAUUUGUAGAGGAUGCUUCUGAGUGGCCACCGACCUAAGUUCCUUGGAACAGGACGUCAUAGAGGGUGAGAAUCCCGUAUGCGGUCGGAAAGGCGCUCUAUACGUAGCUCCUUCGACGAGUCGAGUUGUUUGGGAAUGCAGCUCUAAAUGGGAGGUAAAUUUCUUCUAAAGCUAAAUAUUGGCCAGAGACCGAUAGCGCACAAGUAGAGUGA
rnacentral:rRNA from 1 species